rnacentral:rRNA from 1 species
UCGGGAAUUUUGGACAAUGGGGGCAACCCUGAUCCAGCCAUGCCGCGUGAGUGAAGAAGGCCUUCGGGUUGUAAAGCUCUUUCGGCGGGGACGAAACGGUCCGUGACAACACCACGGACUAAUGACAGUACUCGCAGAAGAAGCACCGGCUAACUACGUGCCAGCAGCCGCGGUAAUACGUAGGGUGCAGGCGUUAAUCGGAAUUACUGGGCGUAAAGCGUGCGCAGGCGGCUCCUUAAGUCAGAUGUGAAAUCCCCGGGCUUAACCUGGGAACUGCGUUUGAAACUGAGGGGCUAGAGUGUGGAAGAGGGGGGUGGAAUUCCAGGUGUAGCAGUGAAAUGCGUAGAGAUCUGGAGGAACACCGAUGGCGAAGGCAGCCCCCUGGGCUAACACUGACGCUCAUGCACGAAAGCGUGGGAAGCAAACAGGAUUAGAUACCCAAGUAGUCCCUGAGCGGGCUGGCAAGGCGCAU